AUGGGUUUCCUUUUACCUGCUGCUAUUAGACGGUCUUCACAUCGCAAUAUCAAAACAUCAUCAAAAGUAUCAAAUGUGCCCAAGGGCUAUUUUGCAGUGUACGUAGGAGAGGAAAUGAAGCGGUUUGUCAUCCCCCUUUCAUACUUGAACCAACCUUUAUUUCAAAACCUGUUGAGUCAAGCUGAGGAAAAUUCCGGAUAUGAUCAUCUGAUGGGCGGCCUCUCAAUUCCUUGCAGAGAAGAUGUUUUCUUGGAUAUUACUUCUCAUUUCAAUAGCCUAUAA
rnacentral:lncRNA from 1 species